rnacentral:rRNA from 1 species
AACGAACGCUGGCGGCAUGCCUAACACAUGCAAGUCGAACGAGACCUUCGGGUCUAGUGGCGCACUGGUGCGUAACGCGUGGGAACCUGCCCUUAGGUUCGGAAUAACUCCCCGAAAGGGGUGCUAAUACCGGCUAAUGUAUUCGGUCCAAAGAUUUAUAGCCUUUGGAUGGGCCCGCGUUGGAUUAGCUUGUUGGGAGGGUAAAACCCUACCAAGGCGACGAUCCAUAGCUGGGCAGAGAGGAUGAUCAGCCACACUGGGACUGAGACACGGCCCAGACUCCUACGGGAGGCAGCAGUGGGGAAUAUUGGACAGUGGGCGAAAGCCUGAUCCAGCAAUGCCGCGUGAGUGAUGAAGGCCUUAGGGUUGUAAAGCUCUUUUACCCGGGAUGAUAAUGACAUUACCGGGAGAAUAAGCUCCGGCUAACUCCGUG